CCCUGCCUUGGUCUUACCAUCAUCACCAUCCUAUAUCUUGGUUUCUCUUUGUUUCACCCUGUGGCCAUCACAAUCAGGGGUGAUUCCAAAGUCUCAGGUGGAGAAUGUGGACCCCUGUGUGUAUCUUCUAUUGAAGCCUGAAGAGGUGACAACAAUUGAUCUGCAUAUGUCUCCCACUGGCCCAUUCUGAUGCUGAAGUGUGGAGCAGCCAUGAAGUUUUCACCUCUCUCCCCAGCCCCACGUAAGCAUGCUGGUAACUAGAGGCUGGUUUUGAACAGAGCUCAUGUAAAGAGAAUUGUUUUAAUGCUUGCCUUAGUGCACAUGAUCCAUGACUGAGCACCUACACCAUAUUGAUGUGGUAUGCUAAUUAUUUUUACCCCAGAUGCUCUCCUUAAUGCUGCCGAAAGCCACAACAAGACCUUUAUGGCUUAAAUCCGCAGAGGGGAUAAGUGCUAUGAAAUAAACCAGAGAUGAGAUGAACAAUCAAUAA